ACACACACACACACACAGUCACAUCACAGAGCCGAGUACAGUUUCAGGUAUUUCUACUUUGUUAUUCAGUGUGGCUCAGAGAAAAGCUGAGUCGGCCUCUGCUGUUUUCUGGAACAUUUUCUCACCUGAAACAAAACACAGCUUCACUUAUCGUCAGGUUAACUUCAGUUUCAACACAUUUUACUAAGUCUCUGAAUACUGUGAUUGAUAUUUACAGUGUCAUUUAUCUCAUCCUCUCGUUAAGAAGAAGGUGUAAAGGUCGUGAGGCAGUUAUCUCUGCGACUGUAAGAUCAAGGCCUGGUCCACAGCUAAUGUCUGAAGACACUGAGCUCCUCUGGGUUGGAGCCAAACGGCCUGAUCCCAGUAUUUUUAGAUCCAGUAUUUUCCCACCAAAAUCUAUUAUUUUAGUUUUCUUCCUGGUGACGCACAGAGGGACAGACUGAUGAAUCCCUGCACUCAGUCAGUGCAGAGUUUCUUAGAGUGUCGUGGACUCAGUUUGUUGUUUGUGAUGACUGUAAUGAACUCAGGCUGACCUGACUGACUGCAGGAAUUCAGGAUUUUCCUGCACACCUGUUCACCACGUGUGCACUAAACAACACUUCAUUCACGGAGAAAUAAACAGCAACACUUUAUUCUCUAAGUCCGACCUGAUGAGUCCGUCAGAAUGUGGUCGAGCGUUAAUAUCAAAGGAAAGAUAAAGUGGUCAGUUCUGUUGGAUUUCUAAGCAGCUGUUGAUUGUUUUACAGCCUGGAUAUUUCCUUCUAAUCCUGGAAAGUUUCCUGGAAAGAAACGGGCAGUUUGUAUUGAAGGAAACAGUCUGAGUCUGAAGCUGUUAUUUUAAUGACUUCAGUUAGUCACAGUAGAGAGAUUACUGCAUUUAAAUCUCAGAGAACAAUUAUUACUCAUUUAUUUAUUGGGAACUUGUGCGUGCACCUGCUGUUAGCUUAGCAACUGAUCACUCUCCAUUUAACCUGCAGCAGCAGGAUGUGUUGCCUUCCUGAGCAGACUGUUUGGAAAUACAGUGGAACAUGAGGUGUUUCCUCCAACCGUGAAAAGCAAAGACCUGAAUCCUGAUCCACACCCUGAACAUAAAACCAACAUUAGUUCUGUGUACGUGUGUUUGUUCCACACGGAUGGGUUGAAUGGAGAGUUUUACACCUCCUCCUCCACCUCCUCCACCUCCUCCACCUCUGCUGCUGCUGACUGUAACUUCGCAGGCUGUUUAGAAAACUCCCUGCAGACUGACUGACUGACACAUGACACCGUUACUAUCAGCUUCAGCCGUGUGUUUUGGAUUAGAGCCAUGGCAGCGGUUAAUCUGACCCUGGCAGGAACCUGAGGAAUCAUCCUGCAGGGAGUUAGAGGAUGGUUUCACCUCCUGGUCUCACUGCAGUCUCCUGAACAGCACUUCUACUGUGAUUAUCUGACCAUAAACUGACGGCUUAAUCACAGUUAUUUGUCUGGAACACACUGCUUCUCUCUGUCAUUUAUUAUGGUUUGAUUAUUUUUUUAUCUGGACUAAAAUGGACAUUUUUCACUGUUUCUGAACAGGCAUAUUAACUGCUUACAUUUUCACCUGCCUGAUGGUUUGUUUGUUAAUUUGUCAACAGGUUUACACAGAACUUGCUGGAGGGAUGGAGCACAGACCAGAGAGGAGCCAAAGGAAUCUCCCUGCAGAUCGGGUUAAAGGAAGUUUAGAUCUCUCUCCUUGAUGCUGCGGUUUCUGACAUCCUGGCUUUAGAAGGUACAAACUCUGCUGAGUGCUAUUCUAGCUAUUUGCUUAAGUAUUUACAUCUACAUCAUCACAGCAGCUGCAAAAAGAAACAACAGAAAAUAGCACAUUUAAAGCCCAGAGGAAGAAGCAGGAGUCAGCGCACUAUCACAGCCCCUGCUAUGAUUUACAGUCCAUAUCUGCCCAGAUCAUCUACAAACUUCCUUUACAACAACAUGAGGAAGUCGUGUUGUAAAGGUCAUAAGUUGAAAGGUCGAAGCACUGUGAGCUUUCUGUACAUUUAAAUAAAGAGCAGGGAACCAAACAGAGACAAUACUGAUCAAUAAGAUAUGAUCAGCCUCCGCUGGAUAAACCCAGCUUCAACAUUCACUGAAUUUAUUGAAAUGUGUCUAAUAUCUCUCUAAUAUAUUUCUACCACUGUGACAUGGAGGUGUAGUGUCAGAUCAGUGUAAAACUAACAGGAAACACUAAUGCAAAUAUGAUUAGUCCUUUAUCAGUGAGUCCAUCUGUUGGUUUCUCAUCAUGUGCUGAUGUUUUGGUCCAUGAAAGGCUGCAGAUACUGAGACCUGUCCGUCACCUGAGAGUUUCAGUUUAGUGUCAGAAAAUCAGAACCUCGUCACAUUUAAAAAGCUGGAAGCAGUGAGUUUUACUUUCCAUUCCCUUCCAUUGUUCAGCUAAUCAAUGAGCAGAGCAGAGGGAUGGUGUGCAGCUAUAAUCAGGUGUCACUACAGUGUACAGGCCACUCCGCGCUUACAGCUGCGAACACAGUGUUUGUGGUUUAAACGAGGGGCUCAGUCUGCAGCCUCAACUCCGCUACGUUCACGCCAACAUCAGCCCGCAGGCAGGAGGCAGGUGCCAGUCCACGCACGGCGGGCAGAUGCUGACAUCUGGCCCGCAGCGUGUUCACUGAACGUGUCAGCCUCACUUUAUUCUGGCGGACGGAGACGAUGAGAAUGAGUCACACCGCACACACAGUUAGGCCAGAGAUCAUGCAUGUGACUAUUAAAAAAAAAGAUGGAGACAGGCCUUCACAGUGGAGAAGUCUCACGAUAAUAACAUUUGGGGGAACUGUCAUGUCCACGUUCUGCGUAAAGCUCCGUGGCCGCCUACCUGUGAAAUCGGCGUCGUCCUGCGGGUUAUUCCCGGUGUCGUCCAUCCGAAAAUUAAAGGAGAGGAUGAGGAGCCGCCCUCAGCUGUGACUGAUUUUAGCUGCAAACUGGCGCAGCACAAUCAGCGACCAAUCAGCGUUUCGUCCACCAACGUCGCUGGCGUAUGUCGUCAUUGAGCGUCGCCUGCUGACGGUAGCGCUCAGUGGAGAAACAAACUCUGAAAAUACACAGAAAAACCAAGCUUCACCUCAUCGCUGUGUUACUGACCAACUUUACUCGACUCGUCUGGACGUUAAAACAACACUUCGACUUGUUUUUGUCCAACACAGUAACAAAAACAACGCUCGACACCGAGGUGAUGUUGACACGAAGAACCAGGAGGACGUUACUGAGACCAGCGAUCACAAUCAACACGACUGGCAGUGUCGUCACAACCAACCGACGUACCGACGUCGCUGGCGUCUGUCGUCAUCGAGCCUCACCUGUUGGCAUCAGAACACAUCGGUGGAGAAACAAACUCAGAAAAACAGAAAAAACAACCCGCGACUCGUCGCUUUGUUUCCUCGUCUGCUCUGGAUGUUAAACAACCUCUCCACGUGUUUUUGUCCAACACACUGACGCUGGACUCAACGCCAAGAUUGGCAGUGUCGUCACAACUAAUCGACGUGCUGACGUCACUGAUGGGGACCUGCCGGUGAGGAAACUCGUCGCUUUGUCAGCUCCGUCACAGUCUUCAUUCCUCAGCGUGUAUGGAUGCUUCAUCGAGCUGUGGAGUUGUUUCUGGACGCUCAACACCAAGGAUUGUGUUCAGCAGCAGCUGCAGCCUGGACACAAACUCCAGCUCUCACCUCAAACAGGUGUCACCACUUCAUCCACCAUCCUCCUACACACAGAGGCCUCCAGAUCAACCAACAGACACAGGAGCCACUGAAGGUGAAGCUCAGUGUUUCCUGGUUCAACUCAGAGUCCUGAGGAGAAAAACAACAAACAUCAGCAACUGUUUACACCUUCAAAAUAAAAGCACAGAAGAAGCUGCUCUGACUGGAGAAAAUGUCUCUUCAAAUCUCAACUAAACGAUGUACAUGGCUCAAGUGUUACAAACUAAUCCAAUAAUAAUGAAAUAAAAUAAACCUCUGAUCAUUA